GGUUCUCUCUCUCAGACAGUCAGGGGUAGGUUCUCCCUCUCAGACAGUCAGGGGUAGGAUCUCUCUCUCAGACAGUAAGGGGCAGGUUCUCCCUCUCAGACAGUAAGGGGCAGGUUCUCCCUCUCAGACAGUCAGGGGUAGGUUCUCCCUCUCAGACAGUCAGGGGCAGGUUCUCCCUCUCAGACAGUCAGGGGCAGGUUCUCCCUCUCAGACAGUCAGGGGUAGGUUCUCCCUCUCAGACAGUCAGGGGCAGGUUCUCCCUCUCAGACAGUCAGGGGUAGGUUCUCCCUCUCAGACAGUCAGGGGUAGGUUCUCCCUCUCAGACAGUCAGGGGCAGGUUCUCCCUCUCAGACAGUCAGGGGCAGGUUCUCCCUCUCAGACAGUCAGGGGUAGGUUCUCCCUCUCAGACAGUUAGGG